CUCACUUCUCAGCCUUUUGGGCAGGAAGAAGUGUAGUAUCUGUUGUUAUCGCUUUAAUAUCUGAUACGCCUCGUAUGCGAGGACCAUGUAAUGAAUUGAUCUUUGGAUCAGAGAGAUGGAGUAGGACUCCGGCCUUGUAUUGCAGUACCUCCAGAAACAGUGUACAUUGU
rnacentral:snRNA from 1 species